rnacentral:rRNA from 1 species
CUAUGCGCCUUGCCAGCCCGCUCAGGUGUGCCAGCAGCCGCGGUAAUACGUAGGGGGCAAGCGUUAUCCGGAAUUACUGGGUGUAAAGGGUGAGUAGGCGGCAUGGUAAGCCAGAUGUGAAAGCCUUGGGCUUAACCCGAGGAUUGCAUUUGGAACUAUCAAGCUAGAGUACAGGAGAGGAAAGCGGAAUUCCUAGUGUAGCGGUGAAAUGCGUAGAUAUUAGGAAGAACACCAGUGGCGAAGGCGGCUUUCUGGACUGAAACUGACGCUGAGGCACGAAAGCGUGGGGAGCGAACAGG